CCUACGGGUGGCAGCAGUCGAGAAUCAUUCACAAUGGGGGAAACCCUGAUCGUGCGACGCCGCGUGGGGGAAUGAAGGUCUUCGGAUUGUAAACCUCUGUCAUGUGGGAGCAAAGUAAAAAGAUAGUAACACAAGAGGAAGAGACGGCUAACUCGGUGACAGCAGACGCGGUACUACAGAGGUCUCAAGCGUGGUUCGGAUUCACUGGGGGUAAAGCGUGCGUAGGCUGUUUCGUACGUCGUUUGUGAAAGGCGGGGGCUCAACCCGCGGACGGCAGAUGUUACUGCGAGACUAGAGUAGUGGAGGGGGAGCGGGAGUUCUGGGUGUGGCAGUGAAAGGCG
rnacentral:rRNA from 1 species